GGCGGAGUGAGAGAGGCAGGAGCUGGAGCCCUGCGCGGCAGCGCGGCCAACUUUCCUCCUGCAGCGCAGCAGGAGCAGCCUCCCAUCCCUCGGUGUGUAACCCCCGCCCCGGCGCAGUGACCAGCGCACUUGGGCUGCAUCCCGGGGCACUGAGGGGUGUUCCCCGCUUUCCUAACAAUCCUGCAUAACGGGGAUGCUUCAACAUCCCCGGCUCAAAAUGCUGCUGGGAAAUCACAUGUUCUGUUUAGAUCACUGCUUCCCUUUGCCUCUACAGGGAGAGAGACACGAGGAUGGAAAGCCCUGGUGCAUUUUUGUUGCCUCCA